AGAGUUUGAUCAUGGCUCAGAUUGAACGCUGGCGGAAUGCUUUACACAUGCAAGUCGAACGGCAGCACGGGGCAACCUGGUGGCGAGUGGCGAACGGGUGAGUAAUACAUCGGAACGUGCCCAAUCGUGGGGAUAACGUAGCGAAAGUUACGCUAAUACCGCAUACGAUCUACGGAUGAAAGCGGGGAUCGCAAGACCUCGCGCGAAUGGAGCGGCCGAUGUCAGAUUAGGUAGUUGGUGGGGUAAAGGCUCACCAAGCCAACGAUCUGUAGCUGGUCUGAGAGGACGACCAGCCACACUGGAACUGAGACACGGUCCAGACUCCUACGGGAGGCAGCAGUGGGGAAUUUUGGACAAUGGGCGCAAGCCUGAUCCAGCCAUUCCGCGUGCAGGAUGAAGGCCUUCGGGUUGUAAACUGCUUUUGUACGGAACGAAACGGUCUGCCCUAAUACGGUGGGCUAAUGACGGUACCGUAAGAAUAAGCACCGGCUAACUACGUG
rnacentral:rRNA from 1 species